rnacentral:lncRNA from 1 species
GGAGGGGUGCCGGCAGAGUGACUGCUGGUUAGGAGGCCGGCUGAGUGCUACUUGAUGUGGGUGACAGGUGCUUGGGGUGCGGGAGUCCGGAAAUAGAGUGAGGAGCGGAGGGGAGGCCGCUGCAGCCUCCACCCACCUCCCGGCCUCUGCCUCAGGGUCCCGGGGGAUUUCUCCUCUCUCUUCUCCUGUGGCUGCUGGGAUUUUAGGGAAGGGCAGAGAUCUGCUGGGGUGACCAUUGUGGGGCCGGGGACCCCGUGGAGGGCAGUGGGGACAGAGCGUUGAAGGGGAGAAUCUGCCCCUGGGGCAGGCUGGUUGGACAGGGUCAGAUCUGCCGGGAGGGGGGGGCUGCACAUGGCCUCCUAACUGGGGGCCACUGUCCAGCCAGGCCCGCCUCAUCCCCAGUGAUCCUGAGAGAACCUUCCAGAACUUCUCCCAGGGAGAAGGGGCCCAGGAGCCCCCCCCAGAGCUCCGUCCCAGUGUGCACCCUCAACCUCCCCUGGGAGCAGGAAGGCUGGCUUUUGACGUCCCCGCCAGGGUGGCCGCCCGAGUCCCUGUGUCCUCUGUAGACUGGGCUCCUUGUGGCCCUGCAGGGCUCAGGAAGGGGGGCUCCGGGGAGGGCUACCCGCAACAGAGAUGGGUCAGGCCCGGCCACGUUCCUCAAAGCCAGGGGAGGACUUGGCCCAGAGAGGUGUCAGCCACGGGACAGCGGUCGUGAGUGUGUGGGGUCAGUGUUGGUGACUGUCCCGUGCUCUUAGCCCUUCUUGGGCCUUGUGACACAAGGUGUCCCACGCUGGGCACCUCGAGGGAGUGGGGACAGGGUCCAGCCCAUUUUCUGCUCUUAGAGGUGGCCUCUGCUCUUCAGCACUGUGGCCGCUAAGGCCAGACAUUUCCGGGUGGCGUCCUGGGCACUGCAGGGUGCUGACUCCACCCUCUCCAGGCCAGGACGUCCCAGUUGUGACGACGACACAUGUCCCCAGAUGUGGCCCGGUGUCUCUGGAGGAAGCACAGCCCUGUUUAAGAGACCCC